rnacentral:rRNA from 1 species
UGGCGACCGGCGCACGGGUGAGUAACGCGUAUGCAACCUACCUAUCAGAGGGGAAUAACCCGGCGAAAGUCGGACUAAUACCGCAUAAAACAGGGGUUCCACAUGGAAAUAUUUGUUAAAGAAUUAUCGCUGAUAGAUGGGCAUGCGUUCCAUUAGAUAGUUGGUGAGGUAACGGCUCCCCAAGUCCACGAUGGAUAGGGGUUCUGAGAGGAAGGUCCCCCACACUGGUACUGAGACACGGACCAGACUCCUACGGAAGGCAGCAG